rnacentral:tRNA from 1 species
GGAGUCUUGUGGUAGUUUGGUUAUCCUCUGGGCUUUGGGAGCCUUGGACCCCGGUUCGAAUCCGGGAGACUUCA